CUCAGAACGAACGCUGGCGGCGCGCCUAAUACAUGCAAGUCGAGCGAGAAGGUGUAGCAAUACACUUGUAAAGCGGCGAACGGGUGAGGAAUACAUGGGUAAUCUACCAUCGAGUGGGGAAUAACCAGCCGAAAGGUUGGCUAAUACCGCGUACGCUUCCGAGUCUUCGGGCUUGGAAGGAAAGCCGCACUGUGAGUGCGGCGCUCUUUGAUGAGCUCAUGUCCUAUCAGCUUGUUGGUAGGGUAACGGCCUACCAAGGCUUUGACGGGUAGCUGGUCUGAGAGGACGAUCAGCCACACUGGCACUGCGACACGGGCCAGACUCCUACGGGAGGCAGCAGUAAGGAAUAUUGCGCAAUGGGCGAAAGCCUGACGCAGCGACGCCGCGUGGGGGAUGAAGGUCUUCGGAUUGUAAACCCCUUUCGGGAGGGAAGAUGGAGCGAGCAAUCGUUCGGACGGUACCUCCAGAAGCAGCCACGGCCAACUUCGUG
rnacentral:rRNA from 1 species